rnacentral:rRNA from 1 species
CCUGCGGAGGGAUCAUUACCGAGUUUACAACUCCCAAACCCCUGUGAACAUACCACUUGUUGCCUCGGCGGAUCAGCCCGCUCCCGGUAAAACGGGACGGCCCGCCAGAGGACCCCUAAACUCUGUUUCUAUAUGUAACUUCUGAGUAAAACCAUAAAUAAAUCAAAACUUUCAACAACGGAUCUCUUGGUUCUGGCAUCGAUGAAGAACGCAGCAAAAUGCGAUAAGUAAUGUGAAUUGCAGAAUUCAGUGAAUCAUCGAAUCUUUGAACGCACAUUGCGCCCGCCAGUAUUCUGGCGGGCAUGCCUGUUCGAGCGUCAUUUCAACCCUCAAGCACAGCUUGGUGUUGGGACUCGCGUUAAUUCGCGUUCCCCAAAUUGAUUGGCGGUCACGUCGAGCUUCCAUAGCGUAGUAGUAAAACCCUCGUUACUGGUAAUCGUCGCGGCCACGCCGUUAAACCCCAACUUCUGAAUGUGACC